rnacentral:rRNA from 1 species
GGAGUGAGGAAUAUUGGUCAAUGGGCGCAGGCCUGAACCAGCCAAGUAGCGUGAAGGGAUGAACUGCCCUAUGGGUUGUAAACUUCUUUUAUAAGGGAAUAAAGUCGGGUAUGUAUACCCGUUUGCAUGUACUUUAUGAAUAAGGAUCGGCUAACUCCGUGCCAGCAGCCGCGGUAAUACG